GACGAACGCUGGCGGCGUGCCUAAUACAUGCAAGUUGAGCGAUGAAGAUUGGUGCUUGCACCAAUUUGCAGAGCAGCGAACGGGUGAGUAACGCGUGGGGAAUCUGCCUUUGAGCGGGGGACAACAUUUGGAAACGAGUGCUAAUACCGCAUAAUAACUUUAAACAUAAGUUUUAAGUUUGAAAGAUGCAAUUGCAUCACUCAAAGAUGAUCCCGCGUUGUAUUAGCUAGUUGGUGAGGUAAAGGCUCACCAAGGCGAUGAUACAUAGCCGACCUGAGAGGGUGAUCGGCCACAUUGGGACUGAGACACGGCCCAAACUCCUACGGGAGGCAGCAGUAGGGAAUCUUCGGCAAUGGACGAAAGUCUGACCGAGCAACGCCGCGUGAGUGAAGAAGGUUUUCGGAUCGUAAAACUCUGUUGGUAGAGAAGAACGUUGGUGAGAGUGGAAAGCUCAUCAAGUGACGGUAACUACCCAGAAAGGGACGGCUAACUACGUG
rnacentral:rRNA from 1 species